CCUACGGGAGGCAGCAGUGAGGAAUAUUGGUCAAUGGACGCAAGUCUGAACCAGCCAUGCCGCGUGCAGGAAGACGGCUCUAUGAGUUGUAAACUGCUUUUGUACGAGGGUAAACGGAGAUACGCGUAUCUGUCUGAAAGUAUCGUACGAAUAAGGAUCGGCUAACUCCGUGCCAGCAGCCGCGGUAAUACGGAGGAUUCAAGCGUUAUCCGGAUUUAUUGGGUUUAAAGGGUGCGUAGGCGGUCGGAUAAGUUAGAGGUGAAAUCCCGAGGCUCAACUUCGGAAUUGCAUCUGAUACUGUCCGGCUAGAGAGUAGUUGCGGUAGGCGGAAUGUAUGGUGUAGCGGUGAAAUGCUUAGAGAUCAUACAGAACACCGAUUGCGAAGGCAGCUUACCAAGCUACUUCUGACGUUGAGGCACGAAAGCGUGGGGAGCAAACAGGAUUAGAUACCCCAGUAGUC
rnacentral:rRNA from 1 species